UACGGAGGGGGCGAGCGUUGUCCGAAGUUACUGGGCGUAAAGCGCGCGUAGGCGGGUUGGUAAGUCCGCUGUGAAAGCCCGGAGCUCAACUCCGGAGGGUCGGUGGAUACUGCCAGUCUUGAAGGUGCUAGGGGGAGAUGGAAUUACCGGUGUAGCGGUGAAAUGCGUAGAGAUUAGGAAGAACACCAGUGGCGAAGGCGACUUUCUGGACCAUAACUGACGCUGAGGCAUGAAAGCGUGGGGAGCAAACAGG
rnacentral:rRNA from 1 species